GACCUCGGUAGCUGAGUUGUUAAAGCAACAGGGCGUAAACCUGAGAGACCUGGGUUCGCAUCCUAGUCGAGUGGCCA